UACGUAGGUGACAAGCGUUGUCCGGAUUUACUGGGCGUAAAGAGCGCGCAGGCGGUCGAUCAAGUCGAGUGUGAAAGCCCCCGGCUCAACUGGGGAGGGUCAUUCGAUACUGAUCGACUCGAAGGCAGGAGAGGGUAGUGGAAUUCCCGGUGUAGUGGUGAAAUGCGUAGAUAUCGGGAGGAACACCAGUGGCGAAGGCGGCAUCCUGGACCGAUACUGACGCUGAGGAGCGAAAGCCAGGGGAGCAAACGGG
rnacentral:rRNA from 1 species